CAGGGAUUGUAUAUGCUCAACAGACGUUGGUGGAAUGAACGCACACCCCCCUCAUCCAAAAAUCUGGUAGAACUGCACUCACUUUGUGAGUGUGCCGGGAAGAAAAGUUACGUUCCUGAAGCAUCAUUACCAGUGACUGGAGUCAGAUUUGAAAAAUGGAUCCUGGCGGCAAACCACCCUUCCCAGCCGUCUGACCACACCAACCAGCCAAUCAGGUUCCACAGGAUGCAAUGAAGAAACAGGUACUAAAUUGGCAGAAGUCACAUGCAUAUAAACCUG